AAAUGUAAUGUUGAUCUGUAAUGUGAUUAAUUAUAAUGAAGAUGAUUGAUGACUUAUAGUAAGAGAAAAAUGUGAUUAAUUAUAAUAUGUUGAUCUGUAAUGUGAUUAAUUAUAAGGACUUAAUGAAUAUCGAAGCCAAGAUGAUUUAUGGUUUUAAUGCGAUGGUUAAAGGUUUGUAACAGAUGAUAAAGUGAGUUAUAGCGAAGUCAGGAAAGAUACAGUCUCAUGAUGAGUGAGGCCUCGCUGACAAGAUGUCGCAAGCUGGGGAAGCAAGGGACUUUCGCAAGACUCAGUGAACAGGCUGGGGAAGCAAGGGACUUUCGCAAGACUCAGUGAACAGGGUGGGGAACACCGGGGAUUACACAAUGAGCAGCAGAUGUUCAGGAAGCCACAGGAGCUCGCCAUACACACAUAUGGGAGUGGAAAAGCAGAAGUUCAAGAA